AGCCGAAACGGGCCUUCAGGCCCGUCCACCGGAACCGCCCCACCGGUGCUGAUGAUGGCAGGGCAAC
rnacentral:hammerhead_ribozyme from 1 species